UAAAAAUCUAUCGUAAUGAAAUAUUGAGUUCUAUCGAUUUUAACAAACGAGUAAAUUAUGACGAUUUUUCCCGUCCUUUCUGGUAUUUAUUAAAAUACCUACCUGCUUUAAUUCCGAUUUUAACAAGAGAUAUAGAUCUUUGAUUUAGAUACUGAUAAAAUAUUAGCUAUUUGGAUAUUUCCUUUAUGAUUUUUCCUCUGAUAACUAAAAUAUCGUAUCAGCCAAGAUCUAUAAAAACGACAUGUCAAUUGAUUUAAAAUUCAGUUCAAAAAAUACGAUCUUCUCGCGUUCAAUAGAGCAAGCACCUAUACCUAGUGCCUACCAAGAUAAUACGUACGUAUCGUAGAAUCGUCGGUGAAUAUUUUUUAAAUUAUUUUUCAAAAUGCAGUUCAUUUCUUCUGUAAUGAUGAUUUCUUGGUUCAUCAUAAACAUCAGCGCAGCCCCUCUUGUAAGCCAAAUACUUUCAGAUAAAUUCGAAGCAAUGGCCAAUAACGUAGUACAACCCAAAAAAGUUGACUUUGCCGGUAUGCUGAUGGGAAAGAGCGAGGACAAAAAUCGAAUCUUACAAAUACCAUCGGAAAAUCAAAAGAUUGAAAAACUGGAGCCUCGUUUACUUCCCUUGUUUCCCGAUUUCAACGUUGGCGAUGAUUUUUACUAUCCAGAAACUGAAGAUGAAAAACGUAUUCUGCCAGAUAACCCGAUGCCAAUGUAUAUCCGUCCUUUUCAACGGCUACCAGAUGUAAAGAUUGCUGCCAAGGGAAAAUGAAGAUGAUUUGUAAUUAUUUUACACUUAUAAGUGUUCGAUAGUAUUAUUUUUUUGGUUUUUUUAAAUUGCUAAUGUAAGAUGAAUGCGAACAAAAUUUUUUUAUCUUUGUACAUUUAAUUUUUAAUAUAAAAAUAAAUAAUAUUACCGAGUGAAAA